UGUCGAUACCUAUCAAUCAGAUUGACCACGUGAACUUGU
rnacentral:rRNA from 1 species